GCUUCGCUGACGAGUGGCGGACGGGUGAGUAAUGUCUGGGAAACUGCCUGAUGGAGGGGGAUAACUACUGGAAACGGUAGCUAAUACCGCAUAACGUCGCAAGACCAAAGAGGGGGACCUUCGGGCCUCUUGCCAUCGGAUGUGCCCAGAUGGGAUUAGCUAGUAGGUGGGGUAACGGCUCACCUAGGCGACGAUCCCUAGCUGGUCUGAGAGGAUGACCAGCCACACUGGAACUGAGACACGGUCCAGACUCCUACGGGAGGCAGCAGUGGGGAAUAUUGCACAAUGGGCGCAAGCCUGAUGCAGCCAUGCCGCGUGUAUGAAGAAGGCCUUCGGGUUGUAAAGUACUUUCAGCGGGGAGGAAGGCGAUAAGGUUAAUAACCUUGUCGAUUGACGUUACCCGCAGAAGAAGCACCGGCUAACUCCGUGCCAGCAGCCGCGGUAAUACGGAGGGUGCAAGCGUUAAUCGGAAUUACUGGGCGUAAAGCGCACGCAGGCGGUCUGUCAAGUCGGAUGUGAAAUCCCCGGGCUCAACCUGGGAACUGCAUUCGAAACUGGCAGGCUAGAGUCUUGUAGAGGGGGGUAGAAUUCCAGGUGUAGCGGUGAAAUGCGUAGAGAUCUGGGAGGAAUACCGGUGGCGAAGGCGGGCCCCCUGGACAAAAAACUGACGCCUCAGGUGCGAAAAGCGUGGGGGAGCAAAACAGGGAUUAAGAUACCCCUGGGUAGUCCACGCCGUUAAACGAUGUCCGACUUGGAAGGUUGUUGCCCUUUGAGGCGGU
rnacentral:rRNA from 1 species